rnacentral:misc_RNA from 1 species
CUCAUCUGGGCACUUCCCAAGGCGGAGGGCCGUCGCAUCGCUUUUUCGACUCCUGCGCCCCUUUUGGAUCGCCCUAUAUCAGGCCCCCGGCAGCUGUGGUUUGCUCGCACGUUCUCUUUUCACAGCCCCUCUCCCCCCGUCCUCUUCCCCUCCCCGCUGGGGCACACUCGAUCGAGGAACCUGCACGUUGCGACGGACGCGUGCCUGCCUCUGCUUCUGCGUGUCUGCUCGUUGCACGCCCUCUCUCUCGUUCGGUCAUCCUCAUUUCGUCACGCUCUUUCCUUCUUGCUCGUCCCAUCAUGCGGCGCUCCUCGUCGUGUUUGUAUAAGAUUCCCAAGAACAUGGGUGUGGCGCCGCGCUUCGACACAUGGAACGAGAAGUACGAGCCAUGGGAGCACCUGAAGCGCAUGGGGCGGCUGGCGGGCACCGGCUUCUACAUCCCCCCGGAGUGGUACAACCACUUUCGCAUGUUCCCGCCCAUCAACCACAACUUUCAACAAGAGAAGACGCUCAACCCGCACAACGCGAGUGAGCCGACACAGGAUGACACGGACCACCUUUCCGUCGAGCGCAUCGCGCUGCGCGAUGAGCUGGCGCGCAAGAGCCGCCUAUUAGCCUCGGAGGGAAUGCGGUAUUACAACGUGUUUUGGAUACGCAAGCCGCUUGAUCGAAUGGAGCGGCAUUACUACGAGCUAAAGCGCAAGGGCGUAGCGCACUCGGUGGCGAUCAAGCGGGUGCUGCAGAUGUUCUACGACGACCUCACCGUAAAGAAGCGCGUAGCCGCCAUUCAGGCUGAGGAGGCGAAGUUGUCCGGCAAGUACAUCUCCAUGCGUGAGGCCACAGUCCUCAUGGGGGUGCUGACGCAGCUACAGAAGGAGCAGCUCACUCCGCACCAGGUGACGCUGUUGGCCAAAGAGCAACGAGAGAAGGCGCAAGCGGGAGAGGCCUUUGCCGCCACUGUGGAGCGCUCUACCGAGACCGUUGCUGACGCUGCCAAGGAUGCCGCAGAGGGCGACGAGGUCAUGUCCGCUGACUCCCUCGCCGAGUUGCUUUCUACGGAAGCGGACCUGGACGACAGCAGUCCCUCCAUCUCCUACAAGGUCACGAUCCACGAAACGGAGCAUGACAGCGUGAAACAGCUGCAAGAGUUGGCACUGGACCACACCGGCAAGAGCGACUGGUACACCGGCGCGUCGCCUGUGCUUCACGUGGAGGAGCCGAUGCCAACAAAGCGCACUCCUGCCAGCAAGCAGACGGGGAGCUGAUACGCCAGCAGCGGCACUCUCGCAGCUUUGUGUCGCCCCCGCUCUGCGUAUGUGCUGGCUGCUGGGUAUCAGUGAAUGGUGUUGGGCUCUACAUAGACACAUUAAAGUGCUUGAGGGGCACGAGGGGAGGGGGCAAUGUGAGGAGAGGGAGACGCUGCCGCCGCGGAUGUGUGCCUGCGCCACAGCUGCCGGCCCCUCCUCUUCGCCUCUUCUCUUUCGCUGCCUCGCUCCACCACUUGCCACCUCUCUCUCCCUCUCACCCUCCUUUCAUCGUGUCCCAAAGCGUAACUUGCGGGGGGGUGUAGGUGGUGGCGUUGUCUGCACUGCGGAAAGCUGUCGGGACACCACCGUGCAGCUUUCGACCCUCCCGCUUGCACCUUCGCCCCUCGUUUUGCAGUUCGUUGAAGGUUUCGUAUGCACGUGCUUGUGUGUCUCUCUGUAGCGGCGGGUGUGCUCCGCACGUCUGGCGUGGCUUUUCUCCACAUUAAUCGACACGCACCAAGCAGAACACAACGAGAUGAACUGAGAGACCCUUUCAGGUGAGCUGAGCGACCACAGCUUAGCGUCGACUGCGCGCGGGCAGCGCGUGCCUGUUCGAGUGUACUUCCUUCAAAGACCACCUCACGAUGUGUGUCUAUCUCUUUGUGUCCUUCGAGUCAAACAUGGAACGAUGCCCAUGGCAAAGUGGGGUCUUCUCCGCCCCGCACCCCCUCGCCCAGUCAACUCCCUCUCUCGGUGCUCUGCAUCACUUUUGCUACGCCUUUGCACCUUCUCUCUCCCCGCCGCAG